rnacentral:lncRNA from 1 species
GAGAAACACAAAUUCAAACACCAGAAAGACAGGGCCAUUUCUGGUUUCUGGUAUUGUUACAGAGGAAAAAAGUGACAGGGCCCACUGUGGGGGUUGAGGGGGAGAUACAAGGCAGGCUGGCGCCUGCCGCACUGCUUGUGGGAGUGGAAAUUGGGGGCCAGAGCGCACUGGUGACGUGGCUGUCACGUGACCAAGAGCCGCCUAGAGCACAAGUCCUGCUAGUCGCCUCCGUCUGGGUACCAGCCCCCUAUUACUCUGCAGGCGCGUGAAGAAAGAAGGAAACUAGCUCGGACUGUGCAGGUCGGUGCGAGGGUGGGCGCUGCUUCAGAGGAGGUAUGGGUGGAAGAGGGCCAAGAACGCCACAGAUCCGAGUUCAGGCCGAUCACAGCUGGGUCCUUUCUCGCCUACUUUCUAAAUACUGCCACCAACCCCCACCCCACCCCGUGCUCAUUUUAGUAGAGAGAAGUGGCGGGUUUCGGGUGGGGGUGAGGGGAGUGAAUGGCGUUUCCAGAGACUCCGAGAAAAGAAAGGUUCCAGUGUCCCGGGUGCUGGUCCGUCCACCAAGCACUCCGUCCCCUCGGUCCCUUGUCUGUUUGCAGGUUUGUAGGUCUGUUGGCCUGUAGGUUUCGGCACAAGUCUCAGCGAGAGAAGGAGAAAACUGCCUUGGUUGGAACCUUGCAGGCUCUAUCCUCUAUCACUGUGGAGGGACCACUGACAACAGAAGACAAGGGAAAACCAAGGAAUUUACCUGACUUUGGUAGAGAUUCAUCACAAGAGAGCUACAAGAGCCUAGAAGAAGCUAAAGACUGCUACCCUCCAUCCUUACUCACCCUGGACCUGAGAGACCUCUUCAAUCAGGUGGAGCAAGGCCCUCUCCUGUCCUGCCCCAAGGCUGGCACGGACUUGAGCAUGGGCCGGGCUCGGGAAGUGGGUUGGAUGGCGGCAGGACUGAUGAUUGGGGCUGGUGCCUGCUACUGCGUUUAUAAACUGACCAUAGGAAGAGAUGACAGUGAGAAGCUGGAGGAGGAGGAGGAAGAGGAGUGGGACGAUGACCAGGAGCUGGAAGAGGAGGAGCCUGAUAUUUGGUUUGAUUUUGAAACUAUGGCUCGGCCCUGGAGUGAGGAUGGGGAUUGGACUGAACCUGGGGCCCCAGGUGGCACUGAGGACAGGCCCUCAGGGGGAGGCAAGGCCAACCGAGCACACCCAAUAAAACAGCGGCCAUUCCCCUAUGAACAUAAAAUACUUGGAG